rnacentral:rRNA from 1 species
UGAAUACGAGACGCUAAGGCGUCGAAGUAGUGUAUGUCAUACUUCCAAGAAAAGCUUGCACUGUCAUGGAUAAAAAACGCCUGUACCAUAACCGACACAGGUGGGUAGGUAGAGUAUACUAAGGGGCGCGAGAUAACUCUCUCUAAGGAACUCGGCAAAAUAACUCCGUAACUUCGGGAGAAGGAGUGCCUUAUUCGUAAGGUUGCAAUAACAAGAUCCAAGCAACUGUUUAUCAAAAACACAGGUCUCCGCUAAGUCGUAAGACGAUGUAUGGGGGCUGACGCCUGCCCAGUGCCAGAAGGUUAAAGAAGUUGGUUAGCAAUUGCGAAGCUGAUAACUGAAGCCCUGGUGAACGGCGGCCGUAACGAUAACGGUCCUAAGGUAGCGAAAUUCCUUGUCGGGUAAGUUCCGACCCGCACGAAAGGCGUAAUGAUUUGGAUACUGUCUCGGAGAGGGGCUCGGUGAAAUAGACUUGUCUGUGAAGAUGCGGACUACCUGCACCAGGACAGAAAGACCCUAUGAAGCUUUACUGUAACUUGGAAUUGAAAUUGGACUUUAUUCGCGCAGUAUAGGUGGGAGGCGUUGAUUAUAAUCUUGUGGGAUUAUUGGAGCCAUCAGUGAGAUACCACUCUUGUAAUGUUAGAUUUCUAACUUUGAAUCAUUAUCUGGUCAAAGAACAGUUUCAGGCGGGCAGUUUGACAGGGGCGGUCGCCUCCUAAACGGUAACGGAGGCGUACAAAGGUUUCCUCUGAACGGUUAGAAAUCGUAUCUAGAGUGUAAAGGCAUAAGGAAGCUUGACUGUGAGACCUACAAGUCGAGCAGGGACGAAAGUAGGUCUUAGUGAUCUGACGGUACUGAGUGGAAAGGCCGUCACUCAACGGAUAAAAGUUACUCUAAGGAUAACAGGCUGAUCUCCCCCAAGAGUUCACAUCGACGGGGAGGUUUGGCACCUUGAUGUCGGCUCAUCGCAUCCUGGGGCGGUAGUACGUCCCAAGGGUUGGGCUGUUCGCCCAUGAAAGCGGUACGCGAGCUGGGUUCAGAACGUCGUGAGACAGUUCGGUCCAUAUCCGGUGUAGGCGUUAGAAUAUUGAGAGGAGCCUUCUUUAGUACGAGAGGACCGAGAAGGACAUACCUCUGGUGUACCAGUUAUCGUGCCGACGGUAAACGCUGGGUAGCUAUGUAUGGAGUGGAUAACCGCUGAAAGCAUCUAAGUGGGAAGCCCACCUCAAGAUAAGUAUUCUCAU